AGCAUGAUAUCAGAUUUUAAAUGACACUGAACUAACAAAAUUCCAAAUAGUCCAAUUAUGAAUUAGUCCAAAAGUCCUAUUAGUACAACUAAAGCAUUGUCCAGAAAACAUUAGUAUGCUAAGUAUCGAAAAUGAAGCAAAUACAGCAAAAAACAAGAAAAAUCAAGUAAAAGCCAAUAAUCAUUCAUUAUUUAUCUUCAAAGAUGUUCAUACAUGUUGAUCCAACCUUCACAUAGCACUUGAGGCCAUAGAAAUACCUGGAGUUUGAAGAGAAAUAGAAAGAUGGAGGUCAGCUAGGCAGUAGUAACACGCAGCAGUAACAAACAAUAAUCAGCAGCAGCUUUGCACUAAUUUUGACCUAGAAAUGAUAUCUCAAUAGACCAACAUUUAAUUUCAACUGAACAACACCAGAGAACAACCAAACAACAGCUCGAAUAAGCUCAAAUAAACCCAUAAACGACCCUAGGAACUUCUGAAAACCACCAUUACUCUAACAGGACUAUUCAAACCAUUUUUGCAACCUUAUUCAAGCUGGGAAUUGAAUUUCAGAACCAUAAACUUUGACUACUAAAGUCACAAAGGAACGUAAGCCAUUUGCAACCUCAGGUGAACUAAUGAUUUGAUUUUAGAACUUGGAAAACUCAAAUACACCCUAGAAAAUUCAAUGGAAUAGUAAGUUUUAGGUUUAGCUGCCCCAAGUUUUCAGAGUUUUCUUUUUCUGUCCAAG
rnacentral:lncRNA from 1 species